rnacentral:misc_RNA from 1 species
UUUCCGUAGGUGAACCUGCGGAAGGAUCAUUACAGAGUUUAUGCCCUCACGGGUAGAUCUCCCACCCUUGAAUAUUUAUACCUUAGUUGCUUUGGCAGGCCGUGGAAACACCAUGGGCUCCGGCUUAUGCGUGCCUGCCAGAGGAAACAAACUCUGUUUUUAGUGAUGUCUGAGUACUAUAUAAUAGUUAAAACUUUCAACAACGGAUCUCUUGGUUCUG